CGACCAGGAUCAAGAAAUUGCACUUGGUGAGUGGUUGGCAUUGUAUAUAUAGGAAUACAUGACAAUAACGUCGUUCGAUUAGAGCUAAAAUUGCUGUGUUUUGUGUUUCAAAUCUUUUAGCACUUAGCUGAUUGUUCUUGGGUAUUUUUUGACGAAAUUCAUUGUCAUAAAAUCACAAUACUUUAUACUUACAUGCAUGUGUAAUCGUGAUUUGUAGUAUUGUAUAGAAAAAAUCUUACGGGCGGAUUCGGUUUGCGUCACGUGCACAAAGACAGUGUUCAUUCUGUGUACUGUGAAGCAAAUACCAGAAUUCUUUGGGGACUCCAUCGUGCCCCAGUCUCCCCUACAACUAUGUCAUCUCGUAAAACACUGACAGCGAGGGAACAUCAGAGACAGGUAUUGUAAGACAACCCUGAUGAAAAAUAUUGUCAAGAAACGAAUACCGGGGAAAUAUUAUAUACACGAAAAGAAUAUUCCUGAUUCUAACAAGAGGUACGUUAAAAGACUUACCGUGAAUAGUUGUCUCUUCGAACAAUUUCUUCUUUUUUUGAAAAAGCCUUCCCCAACUGAGAGUGAACGCUAUUCUCAGAAAGUAAUUGACGUCAAAAAGCAUAUACAGAAUUGCAACUAUGGCUACGGUGCAGUAGCAGAACAUUGUGAAUAUCUCUUGCGGCUAAGGAAAAUUAUUUUCUAUCCACCAGACGGCACCGCAGUUUUCUACGUCCAAGUUGUAGAUGUUCACCACGUAACGGUUGUUCAAAGACUGCCGACGGCUCAGCAUUUAAAUAUGGCGAACAGUCGCAUCCUGUUAACUUGCGGCUCCUGUAACAGGUUUCUUGAGUCUAAAGGGCACGUUGUCGUCGAAGUUUAAUAACUUGAUACGUUGUAGUGAAAAUUGGGUAAAUGCAAGCACUUAGACUCGACCCUUCAAAUGACUAUAAAAAACAAUCGACUAUAUUAAACUCUCUCUCGCUCGCAAGCUCUUUAUAAAAAUAACAACUCAUAUUCUAUCUUUAGAGAAAUUUAACAUUAACAGUGAAUUUUCAUGAGCUUAGCAUCUUCCGUAUCUACCGAUAUAUCAGUCAAUAAAACUUUAAACUAGAUGAUAAAUCAGAAAUCGUGUAAUGAAUAUUCGUACAGUGUUUUACACUACGAGCGCCUUGCAUCGUGGAAUUGGUAAAUGAAUAUAAGUGGGAAAACUUCUGCGUUAUUUGAGAAGUCUUUGGUUCUUUCCAAUUUCAACAAAAGUUUUGCUACUGAAUUUUGCAUUCGUCUAAAAUUUGUCAUAUUUAAACGUAAAGUGCGCAUAGGAAAUCUUUAUUAUUCGUAGGGUGACGGUCAAACGACAGCUGUUAUUGAAUGGAAAUAAAUUUUACCUUAAUAAUAAAAAACUUUAGAAUUAUGCCUGAUACUUGCCUGUUAUCGUUAGUUCAUAGUUCGCAGUAAAUCGUAGAUAUAACAUAGGAAAAAUCCUAAGUGAAAUUAAACAAUGUCACGGUCAACCGUUUACUAAGUUGGCGUGGAAUGCCCCAUUUAAUUGCGAACGAGCAGAUUUUUUUCUCUAAACAUGAAAUAUGGAUUUACCUGUUAAGAUAUUCUUCGUGAAAAGUUAAGAAAAAUCUGUAAGUUCAGAAUAGUACCAGCUUUGCACGUUUGAAAAAUCGUCAAGAGGAUUUUCAUAUCGUAAAGAAUAUCGUCUUAUUAAUGAUAUUUACAAACGAUAUGGUGGAAAUAUCCUGAUUAUAAAUAAAUUUUCGGGAGAAAUUCAAAUUUCAAAAGCAAAAAGUUCGCACGUCCGAUAUCAAUGUUAAGUUUUAGUCAAUAGAUGGUGCUUGAAAGACAGAAUUUCGUAAAAGACAACAAAAGCGACGCGAUUAGACACCACCUAAGAAUUGAAGAGAAUAUUUAAAGAUUUUGUAAUCACUGUGCACUCAUAUAAUCAUACCAGUAUUUAAAGUUAACUUAUUUUUUUAGGCUAUUGUAUUGAUAGGUUGAAAUCUUAAAACUACUAACAGUAGAAAAAUAAUGCGUAUUGUGAGCCGUGUCAGCUCAAUUUCGAAGAAUUUUUCUAAAAAGUAGGAUGGCUGUACCAGUAUUUGGAGAUUAAUCAAUGACUGUAAUAUGGAAACGCCUUCAAUAGGCGGGUAAUUUAUUAGUACAUUAACUCUACCAAGUCUCUUAUUUCUAAGCUAUAAUUACAUAGUUACGUAGUUGCUACGAUCAACUACAUGCUAAUAUUUUCGAGUAAAAGUUUCAUUGGUCAUUUUACAUUGAUUGGUUGACUCACUCUGUUUACGACUGUCACACAUGUCUGUUUUUUGUACAUUGGAAAUUCUCUCAUUUGAAGUGGAGUGAAGUCAUAAUACAUAUGGAAUAGUCCAAAUGAACGUUAACAAGACUUGACCCCAACUCCCCUAGAAUUAAUCGUCAAUUCAUUUUCGGCUUCUAAUUCACCAAAUUUACAUUUUUUACUUUUUUUUUAAGUUUCUUGCACCUGCAGUUUAGGAAUAUACCUGCCAAGCAGGUAUUUUAGAUAUUAUUUUCCACAACUC